CACACGAUGAAGGUCUCCACCCAAUGAAUCGCCUGGCUCAGCCUUCGGCUCCCGGAGGGCUGCAGCCUGACAGGCGGGUCCUGCGCCAGAGGUGAGGCCGGCCACUCCCGCGGCCGGGAGCGAAGAUGGAGAGGCCGGUGCUCGGGAGGCUCUCCUACCGUCUGUCUGCCUGGAGUCUGAUUUGGGGCAUGGCAGCUGUGGUGCUGUGCAGGGCACAAGGGCAAGUGGUGACCCAGGAUGAAAUAGAGCUGCUGAACACUCCCGCUUCCUUAAGAUGCUCUCUGCAAACUGACAAGGAAGUCUUGAUUGUGACAUGGCAGAAAAUAAAGGCUACAAGCCCAGAAAACAUGGCCACCUUCAGCGAGAACCAUGGGGUUGUAGUUCAGCCUCCCUAUAAGGACAGGGUGAACAUCACACAGCUGGGGCUCCGAAACUCAACCCUAACCUUCUGGAAUACCACCGUGGAGGAUGAAGGGUGCUUCAUGUGUCUCUUCAAUACCUUUGGAUCUGGAAAGAUCUCUGGAAAAACCUGCCUCACCCUCUAUGUGCCGCCCACAGUAUCCCUUCACUACGAAUUCUUUGAAGAAGGCUUAAAUAUCACCUGUUCUGCCACUGCCCGCCCAGCCCCUGUGAUCUUCUGGAAGGUGGCUGGGUCCGGAAUUGAGAACAGUACCAAGACUGUCUUACACCGCAAUGGGACCACGUCUGUCACCAGCAUCCUGCAGGUCAAAGACCCCAAGAGUCAGGUGGGGAACGAGGAGGUGAUCUGCAAGGUGCUGCACUUGGGGACUGUGACUGACAUCAGGCAAACCGUGAGCAAAGCUUUAGGAUCUCAGGGUUUACUGCAAACCACGACUUUCCUGAGCCACCUCCUCCUGCAUGAAGUUCAAAGGCCCACCACUGACUGGCCUUGGAUGUACCUUCAGCUUCUUUGGCAGGCAACAGGAGGCAAGAGGCAGCCCGCAAUACACAGAAGAGAAGCAGCUGGAAGCUCUGACUGACUGACCCACGAGAACGGAGGGCUGAGGAGGUAGAAACUGCUGGGUCAUAUGUGAUAGAUUCUUUGUGAUGAGAAGAAGAAUAAAGCCAGGCAAAGACUGGAUGUGAAUACUCUGAACAAUCUCCCUGAAACUGGCAAUCUGUCAAAUCUUAGCACAAGAUUGAGAGGGCACAUGAAGGGAGAAAAACAAGCUUGCAUUUUAAUAUACUUUUUUUAUGAAGUGGAAGAAAAAGUGUGUGCCAGGAGUCUGCGGGUGGUGCAAAUAGUUAACGUGCUUGGGCGCUAACCUAAAAGUUGGAGGUUGGAGUCUACCCUGAGGCAUCUGGGGAGAAAGACCUGAUGAUCUACUUCUAAAAAGUCAGCCACUGACAAACUCAUGGCACACAGCUGUACUCUGUCUCAGACACACAUGGGUCACCAUGGAGUCAGAAUCAACUCGAUGGCAACAGGUUUUAAAGGAUAUGCCUAACUCUAUAUUACGGGACCGUGUGGUUCAUGUCCACAAACUUCCCCUGGGGUGUUUUUUUGUGGGGGAGCUUGUUGAGAACUGUUUUUGUGGGGUAAGUUGUUGAGAACUGUUGGGCUAAAGGAACAAAAGACAGUUGAUGAUAGAAAAAAAAAAAAACGCUCAAAGACAGUAUUCUUUAAAUCUUCCUUUGGCUCUUAGAGAAAAACCCUAUUUUAGUCUGAGAAGGCUUGUGUGAUCGCUGUGUCCUCAUAAUGAUUGUGCAUUGCCUUCAUUCAAUUUAUUGAGCUCCUUUUCUGGAGGAGAAAUAUUACAAAAGGUUCAUGGAAAACCAAAUGAAUAGUGACACUGUUGAUGUUAGUAAAGGGUAACUUCUUCCUGUUAAAAUUUAGCUUUCAUAUUGACUCAGAGUUCUUACUUAAGAAAUUUCCCAAGGCAUAUUUUGUUCAUUUACCAAAAAAAGGAAGAGAAAUGCUUACUGACAUCGAAUGUAAGUUGCAGGGGGGACAGGAAAAAGAAGGUUCAAUUCAGAAAGUGACCCUCAAAUUUCAUGAAUAGGAGAAAUAAUGAAGACUGACAGAGGGCUGGAAAAAGGCAAGGGUGGAUUCUCUUCAGCCAAACCCUCUACGCCAUUCCUCUUGCUCCAUCCCUCCGUACAAACUGGGAAAGACCCCUUGACUACACAGUCCCAGCAAGCCUGAGUUCCUUUCCCAUCUUCCUUUUUCUCUCACCAUCAUAUCCCCACCCAAGAAAAAAGACUGAGCAAGGAUCUGGCAGAAGAAGCCACCUGAAGUAGGAGAAUCUCUCUCCUAAGGAGGGGCAGGUUUUAGACCAUGGGCAGGACAGCCCCUCAUAGGCUGGACAGAUGACAGGUGAAAACUUCUGCAAUGCAGGGCCAGAGCCAAGGAGAGGUCCAGGUCGGCUCGAGCAACUAAACACAGAAGAACAUGGGCACUGAUGCCCAGAGCAACCAGUCCCAUCAAGGGCAAAGCUCGGAAGAUGCUCUGGGGUUAAAAGGGCUGAUGUGGCUGAAAGCAGCACAGCUCUCUCCCCCUCCUGGACUCUAAUCUCCUUGAAGAUAGAGGCCAUAUCUUAUGCAUCUUCUGUGCUAUUGCCCAGCAGAGUUCCAGCAUAUUCUUGUUGCAUAAAUGAAGAGAUGGAGUGCUGAGUAACCGCACUAAGGACCCCUGGUUCCAUCAGAAAGAACCAUCAUUACUGCAGGAAAAGAGUCAUCAAACACUGUUAGGUUUCUCAGGGUGUGGUCACUUCUCUGGAGUCCCUGGGUGGUGUAAAUGUGCCUGGGUGCUAACCAAAAGGUUAGAAGUUUGAGUCCACCCAGAAGUGCCCCAAAAUAAAUCUGCUUCCAAAAAAAUCAGCCACUGAAAAACCCUGUAGAGCACAGUUCUACGGUCUACUCAACAGCAACUUCUUCUUACUGGAGCACUUCUCUUCCACCAGCUAUUCGUCGUAAUUCGUGGAGGCAGUUUCAAUGGUGUUUAGCUCACUCUAUCUUCUCUCCUUCAGGAUUAUUAGGGCAAAGCUGAAUCCUAACCGUGGCUUGCUUCUCAAGUGUGAAGGGAAAAGGAUAAUGCCAAUAAAUAAAUAAAUUCUCUAGAAAAACAAACAAUAUACUUAAUUUCCUCUUUGAAAGAAUGGAAAGUGAAUGUAAACUUAUUUUUUCUACUGAAAUCUCUUUAUCUUCUGUUAUCAUCCAUUCAAGUUAUGCCUUUCCGUCUCAGUAGUUUUCCCACGUAAAUAUGACAGAAUAUGUUUUAGGGUUAUUGACACUGUAGUAUAGUUGAGUAAAAGUUAGAAAAAAAAUCAGAGAUUCAAAUCAUUCUGUUUCAGUAAUUAUGCAGCAACAUAUUUUUAACAAUAAACUAUAUUUUUGCAUCGGUAGGGAAGGAGCUUCAUUAAAAUACCAAAGUGAAUCUUCAGUUUUUGAGAAUUGCCCCAAGUGUUGCCUUGUUCUGACUGAUGAUAUUGAGCUUCUCCACUGUUUUUGUUCACAGAUGUAGUUGACUUGAUUCCUGUGUAUUUCAUCUGGUAAGGUCCAAGUGUAUAGCUGCCAUUUAAGUUGUUGAAAAAAGGUAUUUCCAAUGAACAGAUCUUUGGUCUUGCAAAAUUCCAUCAUGAAAUCUCUGACAUUGUUUCUCUCACCAAAGCUAUAUUUUCCUAGUACUGAUCCUUCUUCUUGGUGUCCAAUUUUUGCAUUCCAAUCACCAGUAAUUAUCAAUGCAUCCUGAUUGCAUGUUUAAUCAAUUUCAGGCUGCAGAAGUUGGAAAAAUCUUCAGUAAAAGUUUAAAAGUGAGAAACUAAUUUGCACUGUAAACUUUCACCUAAAGCACGAUAAAUUUUUUUGAGUGUAAAUGUACUAAAUUUCUAGUUAUUAAUGAUAAUGUGAUAAAUGCCAUUUUCCAACAUGUUUUUAAGAUGUUUUUGGUGUCAGCCACCUGGGGUUGGAGAGAUUUUGAUACAUCUUUGAGAAACUGGAUAUUUUAAUGUGAGUCAUCAUCACUUUGUGAAAUAAUCCAGCCAUUUACUAAAGAAAUAAAUAAGCAACUAUCAAUAACAUGCCUGGGUGCCAAAGGGCAAAGUGGACAGGUAUUCAGAUUUGCUACAAUAUAUUAUCUAAUAAGUCCAGUUUCCAACAAAAAUUAUGAGAUGGUCAAAGAAACAGAGAAGCCUGACUCAUACACUGGGGAAAAAAACAGGCAACAGAAAAUGCCUGUGAGAGCAGCCAGAUGUCUGAUGUAACAGAAAAAGAGUUCAAAUUAGCCAAUAUAAAUAUUUGCAAAGAACAAAAGGAAAGUAUGAUUAAAGAAGUAAUGGAAGAUGUGAUAACACUGUUGCAUCAAAUAGUGAAUAUCAAUACAGAAUUAGAAAUUAUAAAAAAUAACUAAAUGGAAAUUCUAGAGUUGAAAAGUACAAUAACUGAAAUGAAAAAUUUACUACAGGAGAUCAACAGUAGAUUUCAACUGACAUAAGAAAUAAUUAGCACACGUGAAGACAAAUUGAUAGAAAUUAUGCAAUCUGAAGAACAGAGAGAAAAAAAGAUGAAGAACGCCUCAGAGAAAUGUGGGAAACCAUUAAGAGCACCAACAUACAUGUAACAGGAGCACCAAAAGGAGGGGAAAGAGAGAAAAGAGCAGGAAAAAAAAUUGAAAUAAUAAUGGCUGAAACUUACAAAAAUUAUUUAAAAGCACUAAACUAUACAUCCAGGUGAACUCCAAGUAGGAAAAAAAAAUUUUUUUUUUUUAAAAGAGAUCCACAAAUCGGCAUAUCAUAGUAAAAAUGCUGAAAGUCAAGGACGAAGAAAAUCUUGAAAGUAGCAAGAGAAAAUGACUCAUUACUUACAAGGAUUUCACGAUAAAAUUAGCAUCUAACUUCUCGCUAGAAAAAAAUGAAGGUCAGAAGGCAAUGAAAUAACAUAUUCAAAGUGCUCAAAGGCAAAAACAAGAAAACCUGUCAACUAAGAAUCCUAUAUCCAGCCACAUUACCUUUCAAAAAUUAAGGGAAAAUAAAGACAUUCCCAAAUCAACAAAACUGAGAGAAACUGUGACUAGCAUAACCACCUUAUAAGAAGGGAAUUCUUCAGGCCAAAAGUAACUUCAGAUGGCAAUUUGAAUCCACAUGUACACAGAGAGAGAGAGAACACAAAGAUCCCUGGUAAAGGUAUUUAUGUCAUUAUAAAAGGUAGUACGAAUGUACAUUUUUUCUCUUUUCUUCACCUAACAGAUUUGAAAACAAUUGUAGAGGCAUAGCCAAGAUGGCGGAAUAGACAGACAUUUCUGGUGAGCCCUCUUUACAACAAAGACCUUAAAAAAACAAGAGAAACGAGUAUGUUUAUGACAAGCUGGUAGCCCUGAGCUUCAAAAACAAGCUUAGAAAAUGAAGCGAGGGGCAGGGGGAGGAAGAGACUGUUCAGAAGCAGAGAGGAGUUACUGGACCUGAAUCACAGGAAGCCCUCAGGCACCAUUCCUGGAGCAGCAACGGCAGCGGUGGGCUGCUACUAGCUUUCUGCUGCAGUUUCCUCAGGGAGAAGCAGCCAGACACACAGCCUAGUCACGCCUCUAGAACCUGAGGAGAAUGGUGCUCUCAGCAAAAGCUAAGUACUUGCGUAUAUUUUACCACGCUCCGCACUCCCAACCUGGCUUCAGCAGCUGUAUUCCCUGGACCUGAGAUAGGCCCUGUUAAGCACCUAGAGCCAUCCUCCUGGCCUUGGGGAAGGAAAAGAUUUGCAAUUGGGGGAAAAGAUAUUUUGCAAGCUCCCUAAUGGGAGAGCUCAGGACAGAAGUGGCUCCUGUCCAGGCAUAAACAGUCUGUGGCAUUUGAGCACCUUUCCCUUCUAUGUGGACCUGUGUGGGCCUAUUUCGGGAGAAUAGGCCCUUGUUGGUGGACUCCAACUGUUUCAGCUGUGAGGUGGAAAGGUGGAGGUUUGAUGUUUGACAUUGCUUUGUCUAUUAAACAAGGUCCUUGCCUACCUACACCAGGGACCUAAGGACUGAUAGCUCCACUCAGGUCACCCAGCCGCCCGCGACAGGGGUCCAAGGAUAACUGGUACCUCCCAGUCCUUAUAACCAAAAACUUUGGGUGCCCAUGGUCUGUCUGCAGAACCUACCCACUGGCAUGCUCUAGGGAAGAGGGACACACUUUCCUCAGAGACACUCAGGGGUCAGUUCUCAGCACCCUGCCUUGUUCAGAACAUGGUCCCCUGCUGCAAUCAGAUACUGGUAUAUAUGCCAAACCCCUGCCCCUCUAAGACUGUAGGACAGAGCCUGUACCACACACAUGACUAUGAGCUACCUGGAAAACUGAGCUGAAUUCAUACAAGAAAACUGAAUGAAUUCCUAGAUUGAUAUCCCUGAUACCAGCUCUAGCCAUCUGGGGACAGGACGUCAGAGCUCCAAAGGGGAAGAUAAUCAAGCUCACUCACCCAACAACCCAUUUGGGCAUAUCAAAACAAAACAAAGCAAGAGGCCAUGACCCAGUAAGCAAAUAUAAACUAAUACAAUAACUUAUAGAUGGCUUGGAGACAACAGUCAAUAUCAAGUCACAUAAAGAAACAGACCAUGGUCACCUCAACAAGCUCUCAAAACAAAGGAUCCAGGGAUCUUCUAGAUGAAAGUGCAUUCCUGGAAUUACCAGAGGCAGAAUACAAAAGAUAAAUAUACAGGACCCUUAAAGACAUCAGGAAGGAAAUGAGGCAAUAUGCAGAAAAAGCCAAGGAACACACAAAUAAAGCAAUUGAAGAAAUAAGAAAGAUUGUUCAGGAACAUAAUGAAAAGUUUAAUAAGCUGGAAAAAUCCAUAGAGAGACAGCAAUCAGAAAUUCAGACGAUUAACAAUAAAAUUACAGAAGAAGACAACUUAAUAGAAAGUCAGAGGGGCAGAUUUGAGCAAGUAGAAGCCAGAAUUUCUGAACUCGAAGAUACAUCACUUGGCACUAAUAUCUUUGAAGAAAAAUCAGAUAAAAGAAUUUUAAAAAAUGAAGAAACCUUAAGGAUCAUGUGGGACUCUAUCAAGAGAAAUAACCUACGAGUGAUUGGAGUACUAGAAUAGGAAGGGAUAACAGAAAAUGCAAAGAGAAUUGUUGAAGAUUUGUUGCCAGAAAACUUCCGUGAUGUCGUGAAAGAUGAGAAGAUAUCUAUCCAAGAUGCUCAUCGAACUCCACAUAAGGUAGAUCUUUAAAGAAAGCCGCCAAGACAUAUUAUAAUCAAACUUGCCAAAACCAAAGAUAAAGAGAGAAUUAUAAGAGCAGUGAGGUAUAAAUGAAAAGUCAUCUACAAAGGAGAGCCAAUAAGAAUAAGCUCAGACUACUUGGCAGAAACCAUGCAGGCAAGAAGGUAAUGGGAUGACAUAUUUAAAAAAUUGAAGGAAAAAAAUUGCCAGCCAAGAAUCAUAUAUCCAGCAAAACUGUCUCUUAAAUAUGAAGGUGAAAUUCAGACAUUUCCAGAUAAACACAAGUUUACAGAAUUCAUUAAAAAAAAAAAAAAAAACUAUAAGAAAUACUAAAGGGAGUUCUUUGGUUAGAAAAUCAAUAUUAUCAGCUAUCAACCCAAGACUAGAACACUGGGCAGAGCAAUAAGAAGUCAACCCAGACAGGGAAAUAAAAAAAAAAAAGCAAGAUUAUAAAAAAAAAAAAGAAAGCUCAAAACAGGGUAACAAUAAUGUUAUUAGAUAAAAGAAGAAAACAUUAAAAUAAUAAAGAGGAACUAAGAAAUGUAAUCAUACACCUUCCAUAUGGAGAGAAAGAUACGGCGAUACAAAGAAAUAAAAGUUAGGUUUAAAUUUAGAAAAAUAGGGGUGAAUAAUGAGGUAACCACAAAGGAGACAAACUAUCCUACUCAUCAAAAUAUAAUACAAGAAAAAGAUAGAGACUCAGCAGAAACAAAAUCAACAACAACAAAUAUGAGGAAAGGACAAAUAUACAAUCUACUCAGCACAUAAAGUUAAGUGGCAAAAAGAAACUGUCAACAAUACACAAAAAAAGACAUCAAAAUGAUAGCACUAAGUUCAUAAAAAAAAAAAAAAAUACCUAUCCAUAAUUACACUGAAUGUAAAUGGACUAAAUGCACCAAAGAAGAGACAGAGAGUGACAGAAUGGAUUAAAAAACAUGAUCUGUCUAUAUGCUGCCUACAAGAGACACACCUUAGACUUAGAGACAUAAAAAAAUUAAAACUCAAAGGAUGGAAAAAUAUAUAUAUCAAGCAGCAACAAUCGAAAACAAGCAGCAGUGGCAAUAUUAAUUUCUGACAAAAUAGACUUUAAAGUUAAAUCCAUCAUAAAGGAUAAGGAAGGACACAAUAUAAGGAUUAAAGGGACAAUACACCAAGAAGAUAUAACCAUAUUAAAUAUUUAUGCACCCAAUGACAGGGCUGCAAGGUACAGAAAACAAACUCAACCAGCACUGAAAAGUGAGAUAGACAGCUACACGAUAAUAGUAGGAGACUUCAACACACCACUUUCGGUGAAGGACAGGACAUCCAGAAAGAAGCUCAAUAAAGACAUGGAAGAUCUAAAUGCCACAAUCAACCAACUUGACCUCAUAGACAUAUAUACAGAACACUCCACCUAACAGCAACCAAGUCUACUUUAUUUUCUAGUGCACAUGGAACAUUCUCUACAGUAGACCACAUAUUAGGUCAUAAAGCAAGCCUUAGGAGAAUCCAAAACAUUGAAAUAUUACAAAGCAUCUUCUCUGGCCAUAAGGCCAUAAAAGUGGAAAUCAAUAACAGAAAAAGCAGGGAAAAGAAAUCAUAGACUCGGAAACUGAACAAUACCCUGCUCGGAAAAGACUGGAUUAUAGAAGACGUCAAGGAUGGAAUAAAGAAAUUCAUAGAAUCCAAUGAGAAUGAAAACACUUCCUAUGAGAACCUUUGGGACACAGCAAAAGCAGUGGCUGAGAGUCCAAUUUAUAUCAAUAAAUGCACACAUACAAAAAAAAGAAAAGGCCAAAAUCAAAGAAUUAUCCCUACAACUUGAACAAAUACAAAGAGAGCAACAAAAGAAACCCUCAGGCACCAGAAGAAAACAAAUAAUAAAAAUUAGAGCAGAACUAAAUGAAAUCGAAAACAGAAAAACAAUUGAAAGAAUUAACAAGACCAAAAGCUGGUUCUCUGAAAAAAUCAACAAAAUGGAUAAACCCCUGGCCAAACUGACAAAAGAAAAACAGGAGAGGAAGCAAAUAACCUGAAUAAGAAAUGAGAUGGGAGAUAUUACAGCAGACCCAUCUGAAAUUAAAAGAAUCAUAUCAGAUUACUAUGAAAAAUUGUACUCUAACAAAUUUGAAAACCUAGAAGAAAUGGAUGAAUUCCUAGAAACACACUACCUACCUAAACUAACACAAACAGAGGUAGAACAACUAAGUAGACCCAUAACAAAAGAAGAAAUUGAAAAGGUAACCAAAAAACUCCCAACCAAAAAACCCUGGCCCGGACAGCUUCACUGAAGAGUUCUACCCAACUUUCAGAGAAGAGUUAACAACACUACUACUAAAGGUAUUUCGGAGCACAGAAAAGGAGGAAAUACUACCAAACUCAUUCUAUGAAGCCACCAUCUCCCUGAUACCAAAACCAGGUAAAGACACCACACAAAAAAGAAAAUUAUAGACCUAUACCCCUCAUGAAUGUAGAUGCAAAAAUCCUCAACAAAAUUCUAGCCAAUAGAAUUCAACAACAUAUCAAAAAAAUAAUUCACCAUGACCAAGUGGGAUUCAUACCAGGUAUGCAGGGAUGGUUCAACAUUAGAAAAACAAUUAAUGUAAUCCACCACGUAAAUAAAACAAGAGACGGGAAUCACAUGAUUUUAUCAAUUGAUGCAGAAAAGGCAUUUGACAAAGUUCAAUACCCAUUCAUGAUAAAAACUCUCAGCAAAAUAGGAAUAGAAGGAAAAUUCCUCAACAUAAUGAAGGGCAUUUAUACAAAGCCAACAGCCAACAUCACCCUAAAUGGAGAGAGCCUUAAAGCAUUCCCCUUGAGAUCAGGAAGCGGAGAAGGAUGCCCUUUAUCACUCCUCUUAUUCAACAUUGUGUUGGAGGUCCUAGCCAGAGCAAUUAGGCUAGAUGAAGAAAUAAAAAGCAUCCAGAUUGGCAAUGAAGAAGUAAAAGUAUUUCUGUUUGCAGAUGACAUGAUCUUAUACACAGAAAACCCUAGGGAAUCCUCAAGAAAACUACUGAAACUAAUACAAGAAUUCAGCACAGUAUUGGGAUACAAGAUAAACAUACAAAAAUCAGUUGGAUUCCUCUACACCAACAAAAAGAACAUCGAAGAGGAAAUCACCAAAUCAAUGCCAUUUACAGUAGCCCCCAAGAAGAUAAAAUACUUAGGAAUAAAUGUUACCAGAGAUGUAAAAGACUUAUACAAAGAAAACUACAGGACACUUCUGCAAGAAACCAAAAGAGACUUACAUAAGUGAAAAAGAGUCCUUGCUCAUGGAUAGGAAGACUUAACAUCAUAAAAAUGUCUGUUCUACUAAAAGUGAUCUAUACGUUUAAUGCAAUUUCAAUCCAAAUCCCAACAACAUUCUUUAAUGAGAUGGAGACACAAAUAAUCAACUUCAUAUGGAAUGGAAAGAGGCCCUGGAUAAGCAAGGGAUUACUGAAAAAGAAGAACAAAGUCGGAGGCCUUACUUUACCUGAUUUUAGAACCUAUUAUACCACCACAGUAGUUAAAACAACCUGAUACUGGUACUACAACAAAUACAUGGACCAAUGGAACAGAAUUGAGAAUCCAGACAUAAAUCCAUCCCCAUAUGAGCAGUUGAUAUUCGACGAAAGAACCAAAACAGUUAAAUGGGGAAAAGACAGUCUCUUUAACAAAUGGUGCUGGCAUAACUGGGUAUCCAUCUGCAAAAAAAUGAAACAAGACACAUACCUCACUCCAUGCACAAAAACAAGCUCAAAAUGGAUCAAAGACUUAAAUAUAAAAUCUAAAAUGAUAAAGAUCAUGGAAGAAAAAAUAGGGACAAUGUUAGGAGCACUAAUACAUGGCAGAACGCAGAAGAAAAACUGGAUAACUGGGAACUCCUAAAAAUCAGACACCUAUUAUUAUCUAAAGACUUCACCAAAAGAGUAAAAAGAUUACCUACAGAAAAAGUUUUUAGCUAUGACAUUUUCAAUCAGCACCUGAUCUCUAAAAUCUACAUGAUACUCCAAAAAACUCAACUACAAAAGAGAAAUAACCCAAUUAAAAAUGAGCAAAACAUAGGAACAGACACUUCUCUAAACAAAACAUUCAGGUAGUUAAUAGAUACAUGAGGAAAUGCUCACGAUGAUUAGCCAUUAGAGAAAUGCAAAUCAAAACUACAAUGAGAUUUCAUCUCACUCCAACAAGGCUGGCAUUAAUCCAAAAAACACAAAACAAUAAAUAUUGGAGAGGCUGUGGAGAGAUUGGAACACUUAUACACUGCUGGUGGGAAUGUAAGAUGGUACAACCACUUUGGAAAUCGAUUUGGUGCUUCCUUAAACAGCUAGAAAUAGAACCACCAUAGGAUCCAGCAAUCCCGCUCCUUGGAAUAUAUCCUAGAGAAAUAAGAGCCUUUACGUGAACAGAUAUAUGCAUACUCAUGUUUAUUGCAGCACUGUUUAUAACAGGAAACCCUGGUGGCGUAGUGGUUAAGUACUACGGCUGCUAACCAAAUGGCCAGCAGUUCAAAUUAGCCAGGCGCUCCUUAGAAACCGUAUGGGGCAGUUCUACUCUGUCCUAUAGGGUUGUUAUGAGUCGGAAUUGACUCGACAGCACUGGGUUUUUCUUUUUUGGGGGGAGGUUUACAUUUUUUUUUUUUUUUACAAUAGCAAAAAGAUCAAAGCAACCAAGGUGACCAUCAAUGGAUGAAUGGAUAAAUAAAUUAGGUAUAUUCACACAAUGGAACACUAAGCAUUGAUAAAGAACAGCAAUGAAUCUUUGAAACAUUUCAUAACAUGGAGGAACCUGGAAGGCAUUACACUGGGUGAAAUUAAUCAGUUGCAAGAGGACAAAUAUUGUAUCAGACCACUAUUAUAAGAACUUGAAUAAUAGUUUAAACUGAGAAGAAAACGCUCUUUUAUGGUUAUGAGAGGGGGGAGGGAGGAAGAAUGGAAGAGGAGUAUUCACUAAUUAGAUAGUAGAUAAGAACUACUUUAGAUGAAGGGAAAGACAACACAGAAUACAGGGGAGCUCAGCACAACUGUACUAAACCAAAAGUAAUUUCCUGAAUAAACUGAAUGCUCUGAAGGCCAGCGUAGCAGGGGCAGGGGUUUGGGGGCCAUGGUUUCAGGGGAUGAUUAAGUCAAUUGGCAUAAUAAAAUCUAUUAAGAAAACAUUCUGCAUCCUACUUUGAAGAGUGGCAUCUGGGGUCUUAAAUGCUAGCAAGCAGCCAUCUAAGAUGUGUCAAUGAGUCUCAACCCACCUGGAUCGAAGGAGAAUGAAGAACACCAGGGACACAAGGUGAUUAUGAGCCCAAGAGACAGAAAGGGCCACAUGAACCAGCAACUGCAUCAUCCUGAGACCAGAGGAACUAGAUGGUGCCCAGCUACAACUGAUGACUGCCCUGACAGGGAACACAACAGAGAACCCCUGAGGGAGCAGGAGAGCAGUGGGAUAAAAGACCCCAAAUUCUCAUAAAAAGACCAGACUUAAUGGUCUGACUGAGACUAGAAGGACCCCGGUGAUCAUGGACCUCAGACCUUCUGUUGGCCCAGGACAGGAAUCAUUCCCGAAGCCAACUCUUCAGACAUGGAUUGGACUGGACACUGGGUUGGAGAGGGAUGCUGGUGAGGAGUGAGCUUCUUGGAUCAGGUGGACAGUUGAGACUAUGUUUGUAUCUCAUGCCUGUAAGGGAGAUGAGAGGGUAGAGGGGGUUAGAAGCUGAUGAAAUGGAUGAAAAGAGAGAGUGGAGGGAGGGAGCAGGUCGUCUCAUCAGGGGGAGAGUAAUUGGGAGUAUGUAGCAAGGCGUAUGUGAAUUUUUGUGUGAGAGACUGACUUGUUUUGUAAACCUUCACUUAAAGCACAAUAAAAAUUAUUAGAAAAAACAAUUGUAUAAAAUAACAUGCAUCUAACGUAUUGUUCAGCCUAUAACAUACAGAAAUAUAAUAUAUUUGCAGAUAAGAACACAAAGAAAGUGAAUGGGAGUAAGUGAAAUGCCUGAAGGCUGUGUCCGCCCAUUUCCAACCAGGAGUAAACAGUGUGAUUGAAGCAUACAAUUAAUGCCUAAGGGCUGAAGGAGAAACCAGACUGAGUGUUUCUUUUCAGAGGCACCAUGUAUACAUGAGAAUUGUGGGGGCCAUGCACAUAAUCAGGGCAGGAUGCAUGCACAGAAAACAUCUGGGAAGACCCUGUGCUUUCAACUCAGGCUCACUGCAAGCCAGCCCAAGAUUGUUGCAAGCCACUUCAAGCAUUGAAGGAGGCCCUGGCACACAGUUAAUUUACAAAGAUUGGUACAAUUUUUGUUUGUUUGGUUGGUUUUUCCCCAUUUUCUUGCUUUUUGAUUCUCCUAGGAUCACAAGAAAAUUUCUUUCAAAACACUUCUGGAAAUAGAUUGGUGAACAAAGUCCUAGGUCAUCUCAGAAGGCAGUCUUUGCAAAAGUAAUUGUGGGAGAUCAUCAAUCAAAUGGGCUAUGACAGCCUUCAACAAUUAAAAAAAUAAAUUACAAUCCCCAGGCAAACUGAGCUCCAGACUUCCCACUUUCAAUUAUUCAAAUGUUCCAGUUUCAACAAAAAAUAAUUAGGCAUACAGAGAAACAAGAAAUUAUAACCCAAUUGAAAGAACACAAAAAAAAGAAGUGUCAGAAAUCAUCCCUGUGGAAGCUAAAUAAUGGAAAGACUAGAAAACUUCAAAACAAUAAUAUUUUAAAUAUGCUCAAAGAACUAAAUAAAAACAUGAACCAAAAACUAAAGAAAAUGUGGAAAACCAUACAGGAAUAAAAUGAGAAUUUCAAUAAAAGGAUAGAUGACAGGUUUUAGCUGGCAGAAGAAAGAAUCAGCACACUGGAGACAGGACAAUUGAAAUUAUCAAAUCAUAAGAACAAAAAAGAAAAAGAAUGUAGAAAAGUAAACAGAGACUAAGGGAGUUGAGAGACACCAUCAAGUGAACCAACAUAUACAUUAUGCAAGUGCCAGAAGCAGAAGAUAGAUAGAGAAGGGAAAAAAAAGAAUAGUUGAAGAAAUAAUGGCAGAUGACUUCCCAAAUAUGGUCAAGGACACGAAUUUUUACAUCCAAGAAACUCAACUUAUUUCAGAUAGUAUAAACCCAAAGAGGCCAACUCUGAGAUGCUUUAUAGUCAAAUUCUUAAAAACCAAAGUUAGAAAGUCUUGAAAGCAGAAAAACAGAAGUAAAUUAUCACAUACAAGUAAUCUUCGAUAAGAUUAAAUGUUAGUUUAUCCUGAGAAACCAUAAAGGCCAGAAGGAAAUGAUGACAUAUUAAAAGGUUAAAAAAAAAAAAAAAAAACUGUCAACAAGAGUUUUAUAUCUGGCAAAACCGUCCUUCAAAAAUAAGGGGAAAAAAAAUGAGGGCAAAAUUAAGACAUUUCUAGAAAACAAAAGCUGAGAGUGCUUGCUUUACAACCAGACCUAUACUACAGGAAAUGCUAAGGGUAAUUCUCCAGAGUGAAAUGACACUAAAGUAGCUCAAAGUUGUAUGAAGAAAAAAACUCUCCAGCAGAAGUAAUUUCAUGGACAAAGAUAAAGGCCAGAUGUAUGAGUAUUUUUGGUUUAUAACUCUAAUUGUUAUGUUCUCCAUUAUUUAAAAUGGCAAAUACAUAAAAAAUUAUAAAUUUAUUUUAUUGAAUCCAUGUCUAAAUAUAUAAUUUGUGUUAACAACAACAUAAAGGGGGAAUGAUAGAGGCAUAGAAAUUCUGUAUGUUAAUGAAGUUAAGUUGGUAUCAAUUUAAGCUAGGUUGGUAUAAUGUAAGGAUGUUACAUGUAAUCUCCAUGGCAACCACAUAAAAAUAUCUAAAAUAAAUAAACAUGAGGAAACAAGAAGGGAAUAAAAUGGUUUGCUACAAAAAAUCAACUAAACACAGAAGAAAAUGGUACUGGAAGAAAUUAGGAACAAAAAAGGUAUAAUACACAAGAAAACAACAAAAUAGCAGAAAAAAGCUCUUCCUUAUUGGAAAUUACUUUAAAUGUAAAUGGAUUAAACUCUCCAAUCUAAAGGCAGAAUGGAUUAGAAAACGUGUUCCAUUUAUAUGUUGUGUACAAAAGACAUACUUGAGAUCAAAUGGAAAAAUAGGUUGAAAGUGAAAGGAUGGAAAAAAAUAUUCCACACAAAUAGUAGACUAAAGAGAACUGAGGUGUGUAUCUUAAUAUAAAACAAAAUAGGCUUAAGUAAAAAUAUGUUGCAAGAGUUGGGGGGGGGACAUUAUGUAAUGAUGAAAAGAUCAAUUCAUGAAGAAGAUAUAACAAUUAUAAAUAUGUAUGGAUGUAAAAACAGAGCCCCCAAAUACAUAAAGCUAGUACUAACAGAAUUAAAAUGAGAAACAGACAGUUCUAAAAUAAUAGUUGGAGACUUCAAUACAUCAUUUUAAAUAAUAGUUAGAACACCUACACAGAAAAGCAAUAAGUAAACAGAGAAUUUGAACAAUGCUAUAAAACAACUACACCUAACAGACAUAUAUAGAGCACUCCACUCGGCAACAGCACAGUACACAUUCUUUUUCUCUAGUGCACAUGGAUCAUUUUUCAGAAUAGAUCAUAUGCUAAGACACAA